AGGUCGCUUACCACUUUGUGAUUCAUGACUGGGGUGAAGUCGUAACAAGGUAACCGUAGGGGAACCUGCGGUUGGAUCACCUCCUUACCUUAAAGAA
rnacentral:rRNA from 1 species